rnacentral:lncRNA from 13 species
AUUUGUUAUCAUCACCAUCAUCUGUCUACCUAUCCAUCCAUCUAUCCACCUAUCUACCCAUCCAUCCACCCAUCCAUGUAUCUAUCUACCUACCUAUCCACCCAUCCACUCACAUAUCAUCCAUCUGAUCACCAUCAUCUACCUAUCCAUUCAUCUAUCCACCUAUCCACCCAUCUAUCUAUCCAUCUAUGUGUCUAUUUACCUACCCAUCCAUACACCCACCUAUCAAUCUAUCAUCUAUCUAUCUCUCUCUCUCUGUAUGUAUGUAUGUAUCUAUCUAUCUAUCUAUCUAUCUAUCUAUCUAUCUAUCUAUCUAUCUAUGUAGGUAUCUAUCUACAUAUCUAUCUAUGUAUCUAUCUAUCUAUAUCAUCUAUCUAUGUAUCUAUGUAUCUAUCUACCUACCUAUAUAUCUAUCUAUCCAUCCAUGCUUCCAUCCAUCCACCUAUCUAUCCAUCCACCCACCCAUCUAUGUAUGUAUGUAUAUGUGUCUAUGUGGCAUCAG